AACUGUGAAUUCAGUGAAAAUGUGACUUAAUAUGAAAGAAAGUGAAGCGAUGUACCCUUAACAUAAAAUGCAGUCUAUGGCAAUUGAAGAACGCGCAAAGUGCUCAAGUUAUCGUUGCGUGGUAGACCGUCCGCUAAAUUUGGAUUUUAAAUUCAUUAUGGGCUGCGUAUAAGUGUAUUCGUUUAUGCCAAAAAUCACGGGCAAAAUGUUGUGUAUAAGAUCGGUAUGACAGAUUUGCGCUUAUUUUCAUAUUGUAUGCACUUCGGCGACUUGUCAGUCCGCGCGAGUGGAGAGUCUCAAAUGGCGCUCAUGUGCAGUCACUGGGAGUGCAAUGCUAACAAAUAGUCCAGCUGUCUUUGACAAAAUGGUAGGGUACUCGCAUCCUGCGGGUGGUGAUAAAUUUUUACACACAUAAUUAUACAAGCGCCUCCGGUCACGGGGUACAAUGAAUACUGAUAACCAUGAUCAAACGAAUCCCUGCGUUAGCAAGUCACCCGCGAGAAUCGAGCCUAAUGUCGACGAAAACGCGUUCGAUGGGAAACGAAUCAAGAAGGAACGAACUGAUGUGUCUCCCGAGAAUGGUGAAGGUAGUAACAACGCCGGUAUUAAUGACAAUAACAAACAGUUACAGUCGAAUCAACGACUGGCUGCCGGCAAAUUUUCAAACGGCUUCCACGACGACGACCUACUUCAAGAUCUCAUCGCGGCCAAGUUCACGGCCUUAACAAAUCAGGGAACUACCAAGUGCGACAAAAUUCGACUCCUAAUUGAGGAUAGCAUCAGUGAAGAAUCAAAAACACGUAUUCAAGAAAUUUUUUCACAAAUUGAACAACUGAAAAUAGAAGAAAAAUUAUUGUUGUACCUGAAACUUCCAUUAUCAUUGAGUAAUACUGGAGCAACUGUUGAUCCUUUAAGGCAACCUUUGAACCCAUUAGGAAAUCGUUACGAAAUUCAUCAAACUAUCAUGUGGAUUAAAACGCAUUUGGAAGAAGAUCCAGAUGUUUCCCUACCAAAACAGGAAGUUUACGAUGAAUAUAACAUGUAUUGUAUGCGAAAUUCUAUGAAACCUUUAUCAACUGCUGAUUUUGGCAAAGUUAUGAAGCAAGUAUAUCCUAGAGUUCGACCACGCAGAUUGGGUACCCGAGGCAAUUCACGUUAUUGUUAUGCUGGAAUGCGUAAAAGAGUCAAGUUGGAUCCUCCAACAUUACCUGAUAUAUCUGGCACUCAAACUGGCGAUGAAGUAGACGAAAAUAUCACUGAAGAAAUGUUAGGAGCUGCUUCAACACUGAUCAGAGAAUGGGCAGAAAGCCUGUUGGGUUUAAAAUUUCCAACACUGAGUGCCUUAGCACGUCACCUUGUUGAUAAUCUUUGUGUUGACACUCGGUCUCUUUCUGCUGUAUGCAUAUUAUGCGGUUCAGGAAAUUCUGAUUCAUCAACAAAUAAAGAAUCGAGUACAGAUUUGCAUAUAACACCCAUAAGUGGAAAAUCUGGAAAACUCAGAGAAGCACAAUUACAAUUGCAACGAAAACUGCAACAGCGAGAACACAUAAGGGAUCAAAAGCAUCGUCAUCUUGAUACUAUUAUACAGAAUCAGAAUAAAGAGAAGACUGUUGAUAAUAAAAUGGGGAUAUCUAAAGGAAACAAGAAAAUUAAAUUCAUUCAGUCGUCUCAAGGUACAAAUACAAGUGGGCAAAAUGCAUUAACUAAAAUAAGUUUAUCUGCUGUAGUAACUAAUAGGCAGAAAAAAGUUGUUAAAGCUAAUAGUCAGCCAUCUAACAUCUCCCUGGAAUCCAACUGUGAUAAUAUAGUGGUACAAUCGAUUGAAGACAUACAGAAUAGCAAUCCUAGUAUAACGACGACCAACUGCGUGAAUACACAGCGUGAUAUCAAAUCCAAAAAUUCCAGGAAGCGUGCCAAUCCAGUUGUACUGAAUCAACCAUCAGAGACAAGCCCUGAGAAACAAACGAAGCUUACAGAACAGUUGAUACAAGAGAAUGCAGAGCAUUCCAAUGUAUUAUUGCCUAAACUCACAUCUAUACAACGUCCUGGAAAAAUUUCAGUGAUACUAGGUAGUAAUUUGAAACCUACCAAGUGCAAAGCAAAUGAGGCUGUUGACAAUCAGCCUAUUAAAAACUGUGAUAUCGAAUCAUCAACAUGUUCCAAAAGUUGCAUUAAAGUAAAUAAUUAUCCUAGCAGUUUUGAUUGUAGUUUAAAUACAACAGAAGAAUCUACAGUUUUAACUAAAGAUCAGAUUCGAUUAUUGCAAGAAAAUUCAAAUCAUGUUGAUAAGACAGAAAAAUUGGGUACUAUCGAGUCGGAUGCUUUGGACGAUUAUUUAAAUGGAGGUAACAAUUCCCAAGAGCAAGAAGAAGAAUUAUUACAGUAUUUUCAACAAAGUAAUUCAUCAAGUUCGGAUGCAGAAGCUAAUGCUAUCGCUAUCGAUGAACAAGUAUCAAGAUCUGAUAAAGUUUCACAAUUAAGAUUAAUUUUACAACAAAAUUUAAAAGCAGGAACGGUACAUACUUCUGGUGAUGUAUUGCCCGCUGCUAUUAUUAGACAAAAUGUUGAUAAACGUGAAAUUACUCAAAAGCAUAACUUAAUAUUACCAACUUUACUAAACCAUUCGAAUCAAAAUAAUACACGACGUAGGGUCAGUUUCGAAACAAAUGUUGUAGAACAUGUACAAGAUUCAAAUGUUAUUACUAAUAGAGUCCCACAAAGUCCAAACACACGUCGUCGAAUAUUUAACUUCACACCGAUAUCGCCAGGUCCGCAUUCACCCAUUAAUGGUCGCGCUUCCAAAUCUAAUUCUGCAAAUGCCAGUCCGUUUGUUUCACCUCGGAAUACACCAGUACCACGUUCAAGGAGUAAUUUACAAACAAGUAAUUUCAGAGUGCGUGCUCAUAAAUCUUUAUCGCGUUCAAUAUCCUGUAGCAUGCCUUAUACUAAUAAAAAUGACACCUUCGUUGUUCCCACAAGUGGUCCGGAAUUAAUUAGGCAAACCUCAUCUACGCCACAAUUACCACUGAUUUCCACUAAAUCAUCAGAAGUGCAGGUUGACAGCAGUACGAUGCAAAUUUCAGUUAUACCAAAAAAAGAAGGACAAGGAUCACAAUGUGCUGCAUUUCUAUCUUCCGAUUUAGCACCACAAAAACAGUUACUUAUUAACUAUCCGAGUCAAGAAAAUUUGCAAGAAAUAAAAAAUGUUUACCAGAAAAACCAACCGGAUCAAGAAAUUAGUGAAUUAUUUCAUAAUAAUAAACAGUUUUCCAAUGAACUUUAUAGAUCACAAUCAGUUCCAUUACAUAGGAUGGUUAAUCCUGCACUAAUGUCACCCAUUUCGACACAACAUUGUUUACCUUUAUUUCAAAGUCACAGUUUUAACCCAUCUACAAGUAGUUCUGUAGCACCCACGCCAGUACCUAGUGAAUUUAAUGAUUUUGGAUCUAUAGGUCAAUCAGAAGGAACUUCAACGUACUUACUCGAUGACGUUGAUCCAAACUUCAUAUCGGAUGAUCAACAUUUUUUAAUGAGUGAUAAGGAAAUUACAUCUGAAAAUAUAACAAAUAUAUUAAAUAUUUUGAAUGUAGAAGGGACACAGAGUUUACAAAUUUUACCAGAGCAACCUACGGAAGAAGGCCUGAUAGAAAAUAAUUCGAUAGUGUUGGGUGCUUUACCAAAUUCAAAUUUAAACUUGUCAGAAGAAGAUAUGCUGGAUCCAUCAAAUGUACUCGAUAUUCCAGAAGGUGGAACUUUACAGAAAAUAAUACAAUCGCGUUCUUAUCCUAAUACACCGCUGCCUGUGUCGGUGUGUACAUAUACGCCAUCUUAUGCUGAAGACAGUAAUGGAUCAAGAUCAUAUCCUUCUACACCAUUACAUACAGUUCAAUCACAAGAAACUUAUCAAGAGACUAAUGAACCAAUACUUUCAAGUCCUACUUUGAACUCUUUAAAUUUACAUAAUGAAUCUGUAAAUGAAUCUACUUCAAUUAGUUUGUGUAGGAACGUUGUGGAUUUACUCGAAGCUAAUUUUUUAGGAGAAACUGAUACGGAAACGAAUGAUUUAGACCCACUUAGUAACUUUGACGGAUUACAAGAUGUUGAUUCAUUGACACCUUUAUUCAAUGAAGUAACAGAGCCUAAUCGUUGAAGGCGCAUGCAGAAAUUAUUCAUGGAUUUUGUGAUUUUGCAUAAUGAUCUACCAAAGUAUCACGUUGAUAUAGUAAUGAAAAGAACUUGUGUUGGAAAUUUCAAAAAUAAAACGGCAUAUUAAAAAAUUGACUACUAAAUUAGAAAUAACAUCGACACAAUUAUAAGUGUAAUUUAAUUCAAUACAUAAGGAGUUAUAGCUAAUUGUAUUCUCUUUAGAUUUGUAUUGCUUAUUUUUUAAAGUAAGUAAAAAGAAAAAGAAAAACUGUGAUUACAAAUGUAAAUCUUAUAACAUUGCAUAUUUCUUAAAUUUGCCACUAGGGAAACUAAAAGGUGUAAAUAUCUCCAGAAGAGUUUAAGGUGUCGUAGGUGUCUUUGGUGGAGCAUUAAGUUUACAAUUGUGAAACACAAUGAAGAAGUUGCUCAAACGGAGCGAUUAUCGCUGUGAAAUAUUUGAGAUUCGAAUAUGUAAAAGUUGAUUUUAUAUAAAUACUUUAUAUUUGU
rnacentral:misc_RNA from 1 species